UAGAGUUUGAUCAUGGCUCAGAUUGAACGCUGGCGGCAGGCCUAACACAUGCAAGUCGAGCGGAUGAAAGGAGCUUGCUCCUGGAUUCAGCGGCGGACGGGUGAGUAAUGCCUAGGAAUCUGCCUGGUAGUGGGGGACAACGUUUCGAAAGGAACGCUAAUACCGCAUACGUCCUACGGGAGAAAGCAGGGGACCUUCGGGCCUUGCGCUAUCAGAUGAGCCUAGGUCGGAUUAGCUAGUUGGUGAGGUAAUGGCUCACCAAGGCGACGAUCCGUAACUGGUCUGAGAGGAUGAUCAGUCACACUGGAACUGAGACACGGUCCAGACUCCUACGGGAGGCAGCAGUGGGGAAUAUUGGACAAUGGGCGAAAGCCUGAUCCAGCCAUGCCGCGUGUGUGAAGAAGGUCUUCGGAUUGUAAAGCACUUUAAGUUGGGAGGAAGGGCAGUAAAUUAAUACUUGCUGUUUGACGUACCGACAG
rnacentral:rRNA from 1 species